UUUUUUUCGAGAUUCAUAGCUAACUUGUUACUUCUCUUCCAUUUCUGGUGGAAGAAAAGAAAAAAUGUCAGUCUCUUUAGAAGCUCUAGCAACGGCUGGUGCUGAUUAUAAUGAGUGCAAUAUUGAUCUUGAAUGGUGGGAGAGAGAAAAUUCAAAAACCAACCCCUCUAGUUUGCUGCUAGAUGAUACCUACAACUAUAGCUUAUGCUUCUCCUUCUGUAACUUAACAAAGGCAUGCAAGUUAUGCAAAAUGAAGUCUUUGCGUCGAGCUAAAUACAAAGAUUGUUCAAGAACUUGUCAGAGAUGCAACAGCGAAGGCCGCUUAAGAUCGAUGGGAACCCUGAUGAUGAAAGCUAUAAGAAAGUUUUUUAUGAUGGUGAAAAUGGCGAUGACAAGGUUUUAGUUUAUUAUCUUCAGAAAUAGAACUAACAUUCACUUGUUAGGAAUAUAUAUGGAGAGCAAACUUUAGGACUGUAAUUUUCAGUUCUUUACAAUGUUUUGAAGGUGUUGGCUUUGCUUUUCGUUUCAUAAAGUCCUCACUUUCUUGUUUCUUGAAUUAUGUUA
rnacentral:lncRNA from 1 species